GGGACACGUGGUAUCCUGUCUGAAUAUGGGGGGACCAUCCUCCAAGGCUAAAUACUCCUGACUGACCGAUAGUGAACCAGUACCGUGAGGGAAAGGCGAAAAGAACCCCGGCGAGGGGAGUGAAAAAGAACCUGAAACCGUGUACGUACAAGCAGUGGGAGCACCUUCGGGUGUGACUGCGUACCUUUUGUAUAAUGGGUCAGCGACUUAUAUUCUGUAGCAAGGUUAACCGUAUAGGGGAGCCGCAGGGAAACCGAGUCUUAACUGGGCGUUAAGUUGCAGGGUAUAGACCCGAAACCCGGUGAUCUAGCCAUGGGCAGGUUGAAGGUUGGGUAACACUAACUGGAGGACCGAACCGACUAAUGUUGAAAAAUUAGCGGAUGACUUGUGGCUGGGGGUGAAAGGCCAAUCAAACCGGGAGAUAGCUGGUUCUCCCCGAAAGCUAUUUAGGUAGCGCCUCGUGAACUCAUCUUCGGGGGUAGAGCACUGUUUCGGCUAGGGGGUCAUCCCGACUUACCAACCCGAUGCAAACUACGAAUACCGAAGAAUGUUAUCACGGGAGACACACGGCGGGUGCUAACGUCCGUCGUGAAGAGGGAAACAACCCAGACCGCCAGCUAAGGUCCCAAAGUCAUGGUUAAGUGGGAAACGAUGUGGGAAGGCACAGACAGCCAGGAUGUUGGCUUAGAAGCAGCCAUCAUUUAAAGAAAGCGUAAUAGCUCACUGGUCGAGUCGGCCUGCGCGGAAGAUGUAACGGGGCUAAACCAUGCACCGAAGCUGCGGCAGCGACACUAUGUGUUGUUGGGUAGGGGAGCGUUCUGUAAGCCUGCGAAGGUGUGCUGUGAGGCAUGCUGGAGG
rnacentral:rRNA from 1 species